AGGUUGUGAUGCGAACACUUGCGCAAUAAAUCCUUGUAUCUCUCUCAUGCCUUAUAUAAUGAUUCUCCCUCAAAUUGGGUGAAGCUAAUAAUAUCAUUCCUUAACUU